GACGAACGCUGGCGGCGUGCUUAACACAUGCAAGUCGAACGGAAAGGCCCUGCUUUUGUGGGGUGCUCGAGUGGCGAACGGGUGAGUAACACGUGAGUAACCUGCCCUUGACUUUGGGAUAACUUCAGGAAACUGGGGCUAAUACCGGAUAGGAGCUCCUGCUGCAUGGUGGGGGUUGGAAAGUUUCGGCGGUUGGGGAUGGACUCGCGGCUUAUCAGCUUGUUGGCGGGGUAGUGGCUUACCAAGGCUUUGACGGGUAGCCGGCCUGAGAGGGUGACCGGCCACAUUGGGACUGAGAUACGGCCCAGACUCCUACGGGAGGCAGCAGUGGGGAAUAUUGCACAAUGGGCGGAAGCCUGAUGCAGCAACGCCGCGUGCGGGAUGACGGCCUUCGGGUUGUAAACCGCUUUCGCCUGUGACGAAGCGUGAGUGACGGUAAUGGGUAAAGAAGCACCGGCUAAUUACGUG
rnacentral:rRNA from 1 species